UACGGAGGAGGCAAGCGUUAUUCGGAAUUACUGGGCGUAAAGCGUCCGCAGGUGGCGAUUCAAGUCUGCGGUCAAAGACUGGGGCUUAACCCUGGAAAGGCCGUGGAAACUGAAUAGCUAGAGUGCAGUAGGGGUAGAGGGAAUUCCCGGUGUAGCGGUGAAAUGCGUAGAGCUCGGGAAGAACAUCGGUGGCGAAAGCGCUCUGCUGGACUGCAACUGACACUCAGGGACGAAAGCUAGGGGAGCGAAUGGG
rnacentral:rRNA from 1 species